UUAAUUGUAAUGAUGGAGAGAAUGAUGAAGAAAGUGGCUAAAGAGAACCGGGUAAGGUGAAAGCCGGUCCGCCUAUUCAUUGUGUGCUCGCUCCUGAACAGCCCGAGCGAAGCAGUAGUAGUUCGGUGCCGCAAUAUUGCGUUAGAAUGAAGUAGUUUUCUACUUCCCGAGGCCAUUACAUAAGGUAAGGCAAAACAGGGUGGUACCACGAGAAAAACCCCUCGUCCCUGAG
rnacentral:ncRNA from 1 species